AGUGGCGGACGGGUGAGGAAUACAUCGGAAUCUACCUUUUCGUGGGGGAUAACGUAGGGAAACUUACGCUAAUACCGCAUACGACCUUCGGGUGAAAGCAGGGGACCUUCGGGCCUUGCGCGGAUAGAUGAGCCGAUGUCGGAUUAGCUAGUUGGCGGGGUAAAGGCCCACCAAGGCGACGAUCCGUAGCUGGUCUGAGAGGAUGAUCAGCCACACUGGAACUGAGACACGGUCCAGACUCCUACGGGAGGCAGCAGUGGGGAAUAUUGGACAAUGGGCGCAAGCCUGAUCCAGCCAUACCGCGUGGGUGAAGAAGGCCUUCGGGUUGUAAAGCCCUUUUGUUGGGAAAGAAAAGCAGUCGAUUAAUACUCGGUUGUUCUGACGGUACCCAAAAGAAUAAGCACCGGCUAACUUCGUGCCAGCAGCCGCGGUAAUACGAAGGGUGCAAGCGUUACUCGGAAUUUACUGGGCGGUAAACGGUGCGUUAGGUGGUUUGUUUAAAGUCCUGUUGGGAAAACCCUGGGUCCAACCUGGGAAUU
rnacentral:rRNA from 1 species